rnacentral:piRNA from 1 species
UGGCAGUCCCGCACAACAGUUAGGGCAGU